UAGAGGUUUUCGAGUCCUGGCUACAGGACGACGCUGGCGGUGUGCUUCACACAUGCAAGUCGAACGAGGUAGCAAUACCUAGUGGUCGACGGGUGAGUAACGCUGGGAAUCUGCCUUUAGAUGGGGGAUAACGGCCGAAAGUCGCUAAUACCGCAUAUGCCGCAAGGUGAAAGGAGUAAUCCGGUCUAAAGAUGAGCCCGCGUCCGAUUAGCUAGUUGGUAGAGUAAGAGCCUACCAAGGCGACGAUCGGUAGCUGGUCUGAGAGGAUGAUCAGCCACAAUGGGACUGAGACACGGCUCAUACUCCUACGGGAGGCAGCAGUGGGGAAUUUUACGCAAUGGGGGAAACCCUGACGUAGCGACACCGCGUGAGCGAAGAAGCCCUUUGGGGUGUAAAGCUCUGUCAGCUGGAACGAAAACAAUGACGGUACCAGCAGAGGAAGCAUCGGCUAACUACGUG
rnacentral:rRNA from 1 species